rnacentral:sRNA from 1 species
GGACAUUUGCUUGUAAUAUGAGAUCCUUUGGACUCAGUAAAGAGCUUUGUUUAGAAUUUCUGCGAAAACAAUCCACCAUCGCCAAUCUUAGAAAAGAUCAAGUCAAACUUUUAAGAGACAACAUUGAAAGGUUUAAAGAAAAUUAAUGGAAAGGAAAGAAUCCUACCCAGCAAAAUAUCAAAUCACAGAAAUUGUUCUAAUGCUUCAGUUUGUUUAGUAGGCUUUUCUGUAGAUUGGCCAGGAUUUUCAAUGGACUAGUGUUUAAAAAAAAGGCUUACUUUUGCUAAGUCUUGGUUGAUGUUGUAUUACUUAUAUUCCCCGCAAUAACAUGAAAUAGUUAAUAGA